rnacentral:lncRNA from 1 species
UAUUGAGCUUGAGUUAUUACUAAAUAGCUUCUUCCAACAUCCAAAAUAAACAUUUUGGCCCUAUUUGGAUUUCAGAAUAAAUUAUUUAAUGAUAAUUUAUCUAUUAUAUGAAUUUUCUUGUGUGGUUGCAAGUUAGGAUGUUGAUUUUAACUCUUUAAAAUGUUUUACCAUCUAGUACUUAGUAAAAUAGACUGUAUUUCACUUAUAAGACAGUUAUCUUAUAUUUAGGGUGCAUUUGGUUCGACAUAAUCAAAUAUUUAAAAUUUUUUAAUCAGAUUACUACUAAUGCUGUAUUAUCACGUUUGGUUUAAUGCAGGAAUAUAAUGCUGGAUUUGGUUUAAUGUAGAAAUAUAAUGCUCGAUUACAGUGUAUAUAAUAGAAUUAUUAUGUUUGAUUUAUUUUAUAAAAUUCAGUCAUGGUGAUAAUAAAGUGUAAUUUAUUUCAAAAUUACUCUUACCAUAUUUAGCAAAUUUUUUAUUGUUGACAAGUAGUUUUUUUUUAACUAAAUUUUAUUUUAAAAUAAUUUAAAUUUUGAAUUUAAAUUUUAAAUUUAAAAUAUGAACAAAAAUAUGAAAUUUAAUAUUUUAAUUUAAAAUAUAAAUUUGAAAAAAAGUUUAGGAUUUAAAAUUUAAAAUCUAAAUAUAAAAUUUAGAAUUUAAAAUAUAGAUUUAAAAAUUAAAAAUUAAAAAUUAAAAAUUGAAAUUUAAAAAUAGUUAAGAUGGAGAAAAGUUAAUGAUUUGAAAGUUGAAACUGCUGCUUCUAGAGGAAGAAAUCGUGACCGAGAGCCCUAUUUUUCAACCAUUUAUUUAUAGUGAGACCCAUUCAACGUGUAAAUUUAUAGAAUUAAAUAAGUUUAGUAUAGUAAAAAAAAUAAAAUUUUUCUAACUUUAUUAGUAAUUUAAUCAAAUUUAAUAAUUUUAAUUAUUUUUAGAAAAUAAAAUUAUAUUAAUCAAUAGAGUCAUUAAAUUUGAUAAACUUUUUAACUUACCUAAACAUAAAAAGUACAACGGAUUUUAGUAAGGGGAAAAAAGAAAAGAAAAAAGAAAAACCUAUUUCAAACUGGCCUAUAGUUUGGGUGGAUUAUCCAUACAUAUUUUUACCCAUAUACUAAUAUGGUUGGGCAAUUAGGCCUAUUAAUUUUAUAUAAUCCUUUAUGCAAAUAAAUUUUUAUUUUGAGAGAAAGGUAACACGCAAUUUACUUUAUUCAUUAGGUAAAUGAAUUUAGUUAUACAGAGUGAUACACAGCUAAGAUCUUAAAAAAGAUGAAAGAUCAAAAGAAAAAAAAAUUAAAAAAAAAAUCAGAGUAGAAGCAGAAACAAACGUCAAAACAAAGAGUGUAUCUAACGUCGACGUCACCCAGCUCUACAAAAAUUGGCCCACUGCUUAACCCGCACUCAAUAUGAUGAGCGGUUAAGAUAGUGUUAGUUGGUAGGUUCUAAAUAAAUGUCAAAUAAAAAUCUCUAAUGAAAAAUUACAAACAAAGUUACCAUUUUUUAUGAGUACAUUUCCCAACUUAGGAGUUAGGAUUGGUGAUACACACGCUUUUUCUCUACAUAAUAUUAUCUCUUAAUAAGCGUUUUUUUUUUUUUUUCCUCUCUUGUAUCGCACUAUCAUCAAUAAUGGAGGAUUGGCUUUUGCAUCUUGUAGCACUAGCCGCUUCCAUACUUGUAACCCUCCUUCUCUCCUCGCUCCUGAAACCGUCGAGGCCGCGCAAAACCGCCUCCCUCCCCUUCCCGCCGGGGCCGCGGUCUCUCCCCGUCGUCGGCCCGCUCUUCGCGCUCCUCCGCCGCGGCCGAUCGAAUUUCGACGUCGACCAGCUCCUCCGCCGCCUCCGCCGCCUGCACAGCCGGCACGGCCCGAUCCUCUCCGUCCGCCGUCUGUCCUCCUCCCGCCCGGCCGUCUUCAUCGCCGACCGCGUCCUCGCCCACCGCGCCCUCGUCGCGCGCGGCGCGGAGUUCGCCGACCGCCCCCCGGCCUCCGGGUCCAGCGCAGUCCUCUCCAGCAACCAGCGCAGCAUCAGCUCCGCCCCCUACGGCCCCCUCUGGCGCGCCCUCCGCCGCAACCUCGCCGCCGAGCUCCUGCACCCCUCGCGCCUCCGCGCCCACUCCCCCGCGCGCCGGUGGGCCCUCGACCUGCUCGUAAGAGAUCUCGGAACCGAAUCUAGCGGCGGUGCAGCAGCAGCCGUCGUCGUCAUGGAGAGCUUCCAGUUCGCCAUGUUCUGCCUGCUCGUCCUCAUGUGCUUCGGCGAGCGGCUGCCCGACGAGCAGAUACGCCGGAUCGAGUCCCUGCAGCGGGAGCUCCUCUCCAACUUCAUCAGCUUCAGUGUCCUCGCCGUGUAUCCUAAAAUCACCAGGCUGCUCUUCCGGGGCCGGUGGAAGAAGCUCAUGGAAAUUCGGCGGAAGCAGGAGGAGACGUUCGUGCCGCUGAUCGAUGCGCGGAGGAAUGAUCUGCUGCUGCUGCGGCGGCGGCGGUCGGAGGAGGACGGGUUCGUUUAUUCGUACGUCGACUCGCUGGUCGAUCUCGAAAUUCCGGUGGACGGCGGAAGGAAGCUGACGGACGGCGAGAUCGUCAGCCUUUGCUCCGAGUUUCUGAGCGCCGGCACCGACACGACCGCCACCUCGCUGCAGUGGAUCAUGGCCAACCUCGUAAAGCAGCCCGAUGUGCAGACGAAACUGUAUGAAGAAAUCGAACGUGUGGUCGAGAAGGACGCUGCGGUGCGAGAGGAGGACCUGCAGCGGAUGCCGUAUCUGAAGGCGGUGGUGCUGGAGGGGCUGCGGCGGCACCCGCCGGGGCACUUUGUGCUGCCGCACGCGGUGACGGAGGAGGCGGAAUUCGAGGGGUAUCGGAUUCCGAAGGGCGCGGCGGUGAAUUUCGCGGUGGCGGAGAUAGGGUGGGACGGGGCGGUGUGGACGGAGCCGAUGGAGUUUCGCCCUGAGAGGUUUCUGGAAGGUGGGGAAGGGGACGGGGUGGACAUAACGGGGGGUCGGGAGAUCAGGAUGAUGCCGUUCGGGGCGGGGCGGAGGAUUUGCCCCGGGAUGGGGCUCGCGCUGCUCCACCUCGAAUACUUUGUUGCGAAUUUGGUGAAAGAGUUCGAGUGGAAGCCGGCGGCGGAGGGGGAGGAGGUCGACAUGACGGAGAAGUUCGAGUUCACCGUGGUUAUGAAGACGCCGCUCCGGGUGAUAAUCUUGCCCAGAAAGAGAACUUGAGCAUGCAGAGCAACAAAAAAAGUCCUUCAUCAACACACUAUAAAAUUCAGAAUAUUAUAGUGUGUAAGUAUUUUAGUUAUAAAUGUCUUUUUGUUUUUGCUUUUAGUUUUAGCUAUAAUUAUUGAGGACAGAGCAUAUCUAGCAAUUAUUGCAGCAGUAAUUAGAAAUAAGAUUUAGCUUAUGUUGUUGUAUUCAUAUGAGGUUGCUUGAUGUUUUGAAUAAGAGAUUCUGUUCUAUGAGAUUGAUGAAUAUAUUAAACUUUUUUGAUGCAAAUGAUGUGAGUUUGUAAGACUCAAACUAUUAAAUAUCUUAAACAUGACUUGUAAUUACAACAUAAUCAUGUUUGUAUUAAGCCUUAAGAGGUUGUUGUGUACUUGUUCUUGUGUUUGUGUUUCUCAUGACACUUGUGUAGUAGUAAAGAUUAUAACUGUGGUGGUUGCUUAUCUUUCUUUUUUGUGCAUGUUAAAGCAUUUGUGAGAUUUUAUUUUGUAUAGAGCUGUUCGUCUAAUCUGUCUCAUCUCAUACAUUAAUUAAAUAAUAUAAAUUUUGUAUGGCUUAUACUUUAUGGUUAUGGUACAUUUUGCAUCUUUUCUUUUUCUGCUACAUAGACUAAUUAUCUUUCAAAAGAGUGCUGCUAUAAAUAUCCUAUAAAGUAUCCUACAAUACUAUUGAUGAAAUAGCUACAUUAUUAUUAUAUUUUAAACAUUAAUUACUAAACCCUAAAUAUUAUUAUUAAAUCCUAAGCACCAUUAUUAUAUCCUAUAAUCGUAAUCCCUCUACAUAUAUAUAUAUAUAUGCUAACACAUCAACAAUAUAUUUUUCACCAUUUUUUUUUUCAAUUUUUCUUUUUUUUUUUUAUUUUGAGGAAACAUGGAUGUACCCUAUUUGUGAGAGCAAUACAAAAAACCACAGCCAAGAGUCUGAAGUCAAAAUCCAGGAAAACUGAGACUAGGAGCAACAUAAUAGUAAAGAAAAGAACUAAACAAAAGUAAAAAAGUUUGGAAUAGCUAAAGUAUUAGACUCCUAUUAGCCUCCUACCACAGAUAACCAAAACUUCACCCUAUUAAUGACCCUGUAACCAAAGCUUCACCGUAUUGAUGACCUUGUUUCCGAUCUCUUCACAGCGGAUAAGGCGGUCGUUGAAGAUUCGCGAGUUUCUCUGCUUCCAUAAUUCCCAACACGCCGCUGCCAAACAGAGAUCAAAGUUUCUCUUUAAAAGCCCCUUUAACGAUUGUCUUGCUCGAUUCCACCGGGUUGGUAAGCUACUUGGGAGAUCAGUCACCAAUUUUUGAGUAGUUGGAAUAUCUUGUAGGAGGUAGUUCCACACCAUCGUAGAGUAUGUGCUCAAGUUUUUCGUCAUUAGCAUAGCAAAAAACACAGAUUGAGGGGCCUUGCCAACCCCUCGUAGAUAAAUUGUCGGCUGUCAAGAUUUUGUUGCGGCCAGCAAGCCACAAAAAAAUUUAACUCUUAAGGGGAUUUUUAGUUUCCAGAGAAAAGGGGUAUUGCAUGCAUCAAUUCCAUCAAAAAUUAGGAAGUCAUAAGCUUUCCGCACAGAGAACUUUCCAUCCGCACUCCAGCGCCAAAUAGCCUUGUCGUCGGAAUCAGAAAGCGCGGUAUUGUGAACCAAAGCAUUGAACGGCAGAAGCUCUCCCUGCUGUUGCUCUCCUAUACACAGUGUAGGGUGGAAGUCCAGACCGGUAUUGUGUGCAAGACGUCGAAUCCAAUUUUUGAUUGAUAGGUGCUUGUGAGUCGAUAAUGCGUACAGAUUUGGGAAUUUGUGAGUCGAUAAUCCAAUUUUUCAAUUUUUCUGAGAAAAUAGUUCUAGGUGUUGGAUCGAUCAAACCGGUAGUUGAACUGGUUUCUGAAUUAACCCGAUCCAACCGACUAUUAGAGAGCGAGAGAUCAUAAGUGCGAGAAAGGAUUCGAAUCUCGCAUCUAGCAAAUUUGUGCAGAUGCUAAAGUGUAUUGUUGGAUUGGCCCAAGUCAAUAAAGACUGUCGGCUUUAAAUGAAUUGAUUGUAUCUUCCUAACACUCGAAUUUUUGAAAUUAAUGAUUAGCGCCAAUAAUCUGACAUAAAGCUUGGAUGUACUGUUUGGAAAGUCCAAAGAGCAAGCUUAGAUUUAAUUCACCUAGUGGGACUUGAUUAUCAUGUUCUGUGGUUGGAUUUAAGUCAAAUCAAUUAAGUUAAUUGGAUCAGAUCAGAUAUAAUUUAGUUCCAAUUGAUCCGAUUCAGUCGUAUUGAGCUCAAGGCAAAAUUGCAUUAAAUAUCUUCCCCAUCCAUGUCGAUAUAUUCUCCAAACUGAAUUUGCGCUCCAUUUAAAUUAAAAUUUUUAAAUUUUCAUCGUUCGAAUUUUCAAGCUUCAUCCCAUUCGAUCCCAAUAUCGUAUUCAAAAUUCAAACUAAAUUUUGAAUUUUGAAACUUUGAAGCCUCAACUAAUUAACUCCCAACACGGAAGAGCUAUUCUACCUAUGUAGUAGAGACGUUCAAGGUGUGAGGCUUGUGGAGAUCUUAGGAUGCAAAUUGGGCUCACUCCCGAUUCGUUACCUCGGACUUCCUCUUACGAAUAGUCGACUACGAAAGGAGGAUUGAUGGCACGUUAUGAGUAAAAUUGAAAGAACCAAUUGAAGGAUAGCAAGCUAAACUCUUUUGUCGAGGAGGCAGGCUGGUCCUCAUAAAUUCAGUCCUUUUGAAACUGCUGCUAUAUUUCUUCUCUAUUUUUAAAGCGUCUAAAUGGGUCAUACGACGUGUAGAAACCCUCCGGAGGGCUUUUUUUUUUUGGGAAAGGAGGGAAUAAUGUCACUGGUGUUAGAAAAAAUAUCGCACAGAAAUCUGAUUGUAAUUAAAAUCUAACUAGUUUUAAGAUGAAAAUAAAUAAAUCAACUUACAGAUAAUUGCAAAUAUCCAAAUAAUAAUUUGAACUUAUCCGGAAGCGUGUGAGGCACUGUCCUAAAAUGUAUUUCCGUUCUUACGUGCAGGAUUAACCGGGAACAACACCCUAAGGUACGACCGGAAUUCUUCCUCCUGUGAGCACGAUCGUGAAAGAGGUUGACGGAGACUCUUUCAACACCCAGAGACAAAGGAAUCAAGAAAAUAAAAAAUUAAUGAAAGAACUUUAAAAAAAAAAAAAAAAACUCUCUUUUCCACUUGUUGUUUUU